rnacentral:rRNA from 1 species
UAGUCCACGCCGUAAACGAUGAGUACUAAGUGUUGGGAGUCAGAUCUCAGUGCUGCAGUUAACGCAAUAAGUACUCCGCCUGAGUAGUACGUUCGCAAGAAUGAAACUCAAAGGAAUUGACGGGGGCCCGCACAAGCGGUGGAGCAUGUGGUUUAAUUCGAAGCAACGCGAAGAACCUUACCAGGUCUUGACAUCGGUAUAAAAGCCCUAGAGAUAGGGAAAUAGGAAUAUACCAGAC